rnacentral:rRNA from 2 species
GACGAACGCUGGCGGCGUGCCUAACACAUGCAAGUCGAGCGGAGAUUUUGAGAAGCUUGCUUUUCGAAAUUUUAGCGGCGGACGGGUGAGUAACGCGUGGGCAAUCUACCUUUUACAGGGGGAUAACACAGGGAAACUUGUGCUAAUACCGCAUAAGACCACACUACGACAUCGUAGAGAGGUCAAAGGAGCAAUCCGGUAGAAGAUGAGCCCGCGUCCGAUUAGCUAGUUGGUGAGGUAAUGGCUCACCAAGGCGACGAUCGGUAGCCGAACUGAGAGGUUGAUCGGCCACAUUGGGACUGAGACACGGCCCAGACUCCUACGGGAGGCAGCAGUGGGGAAUAUUGCGCAAUGGGGGAAACCCUGACGCAGCAACGCCGCGUGAAGGAUGAAGGCCUUCGGGUUGUAAACUUCUUUGAUCAGGGACGAAAAAAAUGACGGUACCUGAAGAACAAGCCACGGCUAACUACGUGCCAGCAGCCGCGGUAAUACGUAGGUGGCGAGCGUUGUCCGGAAUUACUGGGUGUAAAGGGCGUGUAGGCGGGAAUGCAAGUCAGAUGUGAAAUUCCAGGGCUUAACCCUGGCGCUGCAUCUGAAACUGUGUUUCUUGAGUGUCGGAGAGGAAAGUGGAAUUCCCAGUGUAGCGGUGAAAUGCGUAGAUAUUGGGAGGAACACCAGUGGCGAAGGCGACUUUCUGGA